GCCGCUGGUCGCGACCCGGGACAGGACAACGACAGGAACACCGCCGAGCCCGCGUUCCCCCCCUGCCCAGAGUCAUGGCGGCAGCAGCCGCUCUGAGGGCCCCUGCUCAGAGCAGUGUGACCUUUGAAGAUGUGGCUGUAAACUUUUCCCUGGAGGAAUGGAGUCUUCUUAAUGAGGCUCAGAGAUGCCUGUACCGUGACGUGAUGCUGGAGACCUUGACACUUAUAUCCUCCCUGGGUUGUUGGCAUGGAGGGGAAGAUGAGGCAGCACCUUCUAAGCAGAGCACGUGUAUACAUAUAUACAAAGACCAGGGAGGUCAUAGUGGAGAAAGGCCUUAUGAGUGUGGGGAAUAUAGGAAAUUAUUUAAGAACAAGUCCUGCCUCACUGAACCCAGAAGAGAUCACAAACACAGGAAUGUUCGCACUGGAGAAAGGCCUUAUGAGUGCAGCAAAUAUGGGAAAUUAUUUCACCAAAAGCCUACACUCCAUAUUCAUGAGAGAUUUCAUACUGGGCAAAAGACCUAUGAGUGUAGUGAGUGUGGAAAAUCAUUUCACCAAAGCUCUUCACUCUUGCAGCGUCAGACACUUCACACUAGAGAAAGGCCUUAUGAGUGUAUUGAAUGUGGGAAAGCCUUUGCUGAAAAGUCCAGUCUCAUUAACCACAGGAAAGUUCACUCUGGAGCAAAGCGUUAUGAAUGCAAUGAAUGUGGGAAGUCCUUUGCUUAUACAUCUAGUCUCAUUAAACACAGGAGGAUUCACACUGGAGAGAGGCCUUAUGAAUGCAGUGAAUGUGGGAGAUCCUUUGCUGAAAACUCCAGUCUUAUUAAACACUUGAGAGUUCACACAGGAGAAAGGCCUUAUGAAUGCGUUGAGUGUGGAAAAUCAUUUCGCCGAAGCUCUUCACUCUUGCAGCAUCAGAGAGUUCACACUAGAGAAAGGCCUUAUGAAUGUAGUGAAUGUGGGAAAUCCUUUAGCUUAAGGUCCAACCUCAUUCACCAUCAGCGAGUUCAUACUGGAGAAAGGCAUGAGUGUGGGCAGUGUGGGAAAUCCUUUAGCCGAAAAUCUAGCCUUAUUAUACAUCUGAGAGUUCACACUGGAGAAAGGCCUUAUGAGUGCAGUGACUGUGGGAAAUCCUUUGCUGAAAACUCCAGCCUUAUUAAACACUUGAGAGUUCACACUGGAGAAAGGCCAUAUGAAUGCAUUGAGUGUGGAAAAUCAUUUCGCCACAGUUCUUCGUUCCGUCGCCAUCAGAGAGUUCAUACUGGAAUGAGGCCUUAUAAGUGAAGCAAAUUUUGGAAAUUCUCUUGCCCAGGCUUUUUGCUCCUUCAAGGCCAGAGAGUUCAUACCGGAUCAAGGUGUUAUGAGUGUGACAAAUGGGGAAUAUUCUUUAGCUAGAACGCUAGCUUCUUUACAUAAAAGAGUGCUCCCACUGAAGAAGUGCCUUUUGAGUGCAAUGAAUGUGAGAAAGCCUUCAGCCCUCUCUCAUUGGUUACCACAAUAUUUACAUGAGGAAAAUACCACAGAUGUGGAGGUAAUAUUAUUUUUUCUUCAGUAUAACACUGGAGGAAACCCCUUAUGAGGAUGUCAUCUGCCUAAAUUGAAUGUCAUACAUCAAAUAGCUGCAUACAUUCCAGAGCAGUGUGACCUUUGAAGACGUGGCUGUAAACUUUUCCCUGGAGGAAUGGAGUCUUCUUAAUGAGGCUCAGGGAUGCCUGUACCAUGAUGUGAUGCUGGAGACCCUGACACUUAUAUCCUCCCUGGAAAGGGUGCACUCGCCAGCAGUUUUGCAACAGGAGCACACUGAACAAAGAAGACAGGGUCAUUUAUAACCUGAGGCGUUCACCCUCCUGCCGGUUUCCAUUGCCUGGAACAGGACCUCAUAUUCUGUAUGUGUCCUGAUUGGCUAGCAACUUAGAACCUUUUAAAAGAGGCAAAGGUAGAGGAGAACAAAGAAAGGAGGAAGUAACUUGUGGAAUGCUGAGAAAGGUAAAAACACUUUUAAAUAAGGAAGAGGAACAGGCUAUGACCUAAUGCUUGCUUGGAGCAGUAUAAGCAUGUCAGGGCAAAUAUUUAGGCUAAAUUGUCAGAGCUAAGAACAUAAAGUACAUUGAUUUCUUUAUUAUGGCUAGCAGAUAUUUAAGAAUGCUAGCACAAGUCUUUCAAUAAAUUUCGCUUUUAAGAGAAGUUACUAUUUAUUCCUAAUUAGAUGGGGAGGAAAGUCUUUGAAGAGGAACCUGUACUUUACUUUUAACAAUAUUCCCCCUCUUUUUAUUUCAUAAUUCCUCUUCAAACUUAUUUAAUGUUUUGACUUAAUUGCUUUUUUUGUCCUUCUAAGAGAAGUAAUUUUUUUUUGAAUAGGGAGGAGGAGAGUUAGCAGUUAACUCUGUAACAGUGGCAGAGACAAGUUUUUGUAUAAAACUUUGAAGGUAGGGAAUAUUAUAACAGCCUACAAGAAUAAGUACACUAAUAACAAGAGUGAACAAGGUGAGAAUUGAAGUUAAAAUUUCUUUUUAUUCACUGAACUAAUGUUUUAUUAUUUUAGAAAAGGGGUUAUUUAUUUUACAAUUCUUGGCAAAUUUAUCAGAUAGGGCUGUUAACCUUGGUAGCGCUUUUGUUAUAGUUCUAUCAGGGGCAGUAUUAUUAGGAACAAAGGUACAAUACUGAGUUUUGUAUUAAACAUUUAAUUUAUUGGUCUUUGUGGGGAAUUAGACGCAUUACCACUCUGUUACAACUGAGGCAUUAAUUUUGUAGCUUCACCAACAUUAAUUGGUUUGCUUUCAUGACACUGAGGAAUCAAUUCUUUCUGCAGAGGUUCUGAGUUUUAAUUAUGACACAAACAUCUCCUUUUUCUGCUAAUUAUUUAAAGCUAUUUUAUUUUUCUACGCCAUCUGGCUAGUAGAUCCUAAUUGCUUAGCUAUCUGUUUGAUGGUAUCCUCAGUGUAAUUUAUGAAUUGUUGGUGAUUGUAACAUAGCUUAGUCUACAUUUUUUUAUAGUUACCAGAAUGAUGUGGAUUUAAAUUCUGCAGCUAUUUGAUUUUGUGCUUUAAACUUAUCGGGCACUUCUCACAGGACCUUAAUAGCAUUUAUGUAAACCUGAGGAUUAAAGGACUCAUACGUUUUUCUUGGCCUGUGGUGUUUUGUUUUUACCUUUGUAGAUUGAUGAAAUGCCAGGAUGAAGGGGAUACCCAAUUGGAUUACAGCACAAGUACUGCUCCAGUUAUUUGGCAGAGUGUCCAGUAAAGGUCUUCCACUUACCACUAUACAUUUGUUUGGGGAUGGCUAAGCAUGGACUGAUGGGCAAGGUCUUGGAAAGGCUUGAGCUCUUUGCAUCGUUUAAUGCUUCCAAGGAACACUAAAUUUUCCUCCUGACCUGAGAUGCACAAAGUAAACUUUGUGCAUUCAGCAUUCAGCAUUCAGAGGUGGAAGCCGGAUUGCCGUAGGGGGCUGACCUGCAGGGUGUUAAAUUUCAGGAAAUAGCAGAGAGAGCUCAGUAUGUUGGAUUAUCCCAAGCAGUGGGAUUUGGAAAAGAGCCACCAUACAGUCCUUAUCUGAGUGGAAAGGGGAUAAUCUGGGAUUCUGGCCUACUGUGCGUACAAGUGUAAUAAUCGCUUUUAUUUGAAGUGCUAAUGGAUUAUUUAAUCCAUUUCAGCCAGGCAUUUGCAUCUUGAUAUUUUGUCUUGACAGCGAAGGUCUGUCUUAGAUCUCUUAUUUUUACAAGACACCUUAGUUUUACCAGAUGUAGGAGCAACUGGUGUGGGAUCUAGAUCUGAGGCAACUUAAGAAGGGAAAGAUGAGGGAAUAAUGUGUAUUUUUAAAAUAACUGGGGGGUCUUUUUUAUUUAUGUUAAUUUUUUUUUUUUUUUUUUUUUGAGACAGAGUCUAGCUCCGUCACCCAGGCUACAGUGCAGUGGCACGAUGUCAGCUCACUGCAACCUCUGCCUCCCGGGUUCAAGCAAUUCUCCUGCCUCCGCCUCCCAAGUAGCUAGGAUUACAGGCACCCACCUCCGCGCCCAGCUAAUUUUUGUAUUUUUAGUAGAGACGGGGUUUCACCAUCUUGCCCAGGCUGGUCUCAAACUCCUGACCUCAGGUGAUCCACCAGCCUCGGCCUCCCAAAGUGCUGGGAUUACAAUCAUGAGCCACCACGCCCAGCCUACUUAUGUUAAUUUUUAUACCAUAGAAGCGACUAAGGGUGUGUCUAGAGUUCGUUAAGGUGGAGGUGGUGAUAAAGAGAAAGACAGGGUUAUAUUGACAAGGCUGACAGUAAGAAGGGGUAGUCCUUUUAAUGAAAUAGAUGAGGGGUUUUAGGUCUGCACAAACCUUUUUGUGGAAGUCUAACUUUGCUAUUGGGUAGUUUGAGUGAUGCAGUACUAUUUACUACAAUGUUGCCAGGUGGUAGGAGCAGAAAAUUGGUGUCUUGGCUGCAGGUCAUUACAACAAUGAGUGCUAGGAAUAACUGUGUCAAUUAAAGGGCUGGGAUAUAAAUAUUUGUGUGAAAAGGCUAGCUGCUGUUGAUCUUUUACAUUUCUACAAGGUAUGACAAAGCAAGCAUUAAAGGCAAUAGUCUGAGUGAGUCAGACUUAGUUACAUUAAUAACAAAGGAGCUAAUAACAGAAUAAGAAAAGGAAGCAAUAUAGAAGGUAUAUGAAAAUUAAUCUUUCUUUAACUUAGUAGGGCUUGAUCCUAGUACAGUAACCCAUGAUUCUGAGAGGAAGAUGUUUUCUUGACUUGAGUAUGGUGGGUCCAUUUUUUUUUUUCCUCAGCUGUGUGGACGGCAGUCUCAGGGGUUAACAGAAUAAAAUAGGGUUCUUCCCAGGCUGGUUUGAGUUUUUUCUUUCUAGCUUUUGAUGAGGACAUGGUUUUCAGGCUGGUGCUGGUGUACUGGAAAUUCUAGGGGUGGUACCUGUGCUAAAAGACUUUUAGGUCCGAGGGAAGUGAAAGUGGAAGAUAAAUUAAGUAUAGGAUUUUUGCUGCAUAUUCUGGGGCCUUAGGCCUCAUGGUGACACCUCCUGCUCCAUUCUUGUUCAGCGCCACCCAGGGGAGGCUGCAGCCCUGCCCCUUCUUAAUGUCUUGGCCUUCUUGUGGCCUUCACCACCCUUGCUCACUGUGGCCUUCAGGAUGAGGGGCCUUGUGACUUACCUGGCCAUCUUAGGGCCUUAAGAAAGCUAAAUACCAUUGUAUAUUUGUCAAUUUUUUUGUAUGAUUUUUAUAUCAAAUAAGUUAAAUUUUAUCUUUAGUGGCCAGGCGCGGUGGCUCACGUCUGUAAUCCCAGCACUUUGGGAGGCUGAGGCGGGUGGAUCACCUGAUGUCAGGAGUUCGAGACAAGCCUGGCCAACAUGGUGAAAUCCCGCCUCUACUAAAACUAAAAAGUAAAUAAAUAAAUAAAUUUAUCUUUAUAUUAAUAUGCUACUAAUGUUAAACUUAAUUUUAGUAAGAUCUUAUAGACAUUAUUUAUCUAAUUUUAAUGUCUGACUAUAAGGCAAGACUUUUAGACUCUUUUUAUAAUUUUUGUUAAAGAGCACGUUGGUGCUUUAAGAAAAAUCUAUCGUGCUUUAAUUUUAACGUCCAGUUCACAGAAAAACUGGAUGACACCCUUUUAACUUUAGCCAAUAUGUUUACACACAGAAUUUGAUACCCUCUUAACUUUAGCCAGUAUGUUUACACACAGAAUUUCCUUGACAAUUAACAUUUUAAAACUUGCUUAAACCUUUAAAACAAAAAAAUUGUCUUAACCUUUAGUGUAGGUAAAAAUCCAUAUUCUUAUGCCUCCUUGUAAUCUUAUUAAAAGUAUAUUUUAUUUUUCUUACAUACCUUGUAAACUGUUUAAUAAUAAUUUUACAUCCAGGAGGCCUAAUUACUUUUAAAUUAUACAGUAUUUAUUGCAUACAUUCCCUUUUAUAGCUUUUCUUACGACUUUCACAAUCUUCAACAUGUCUUAACUUUCUGCCUUCCUUUUACACUAUUUUUUUCCUCGUUUCACCUCCUUUGUCUUCUUUUGAUUUCUGUCUCUUCCAGUUUCUCUCUUACUCUUUCCUUCUAUUUCUUUCUCUCAUUUGCACUCUAUUUUCCGCUCUCUCAUCCCGUUUCCCUUUCUUCCCCGGACUUCUCCCGCUCCUGCCGCAAGCAGGGCUGGGCCACCGCACAGGCCCCGCCCCCGACCCCGCGCUGCUGUUUUUCUUUUUUUCCCCCUGAUUUCCCCUCUUACUUUUUUUUUUUUUUUUCCUUUUCCUUUUACACUUAGUUUCUUGGGCUGAGUGGGAUUUGCGUGGCUGCAGUCUGGGCCCCGGGCAGUCACUAGCCUAGAGGCUUGGCAGAUAUGCCUGCUGCAAAUUGCAAGAAUUACGCCUUUUCACCUCCUCUGCUCUCCUCCCGGAGCCGGUGCCCACCCUCUUUUUCACAAACCGCAGGGCUGGGGAGAGGGACUUAACCUUUGGCCUGCCUGCCUGGCUGUUUGGCUCUGUGCUUGCUGUUUUUGGUUUCUUUCUCUUCUACUGGUCUUUCCUUUGUCAUUGCCAGCCACCUAUGCUGCUGUUUUCUCCUCUGCUUCCCUCUCCCCUAGGGGAGGGACCGGCAGGAGUGGAGCUACUGUUUCUUUCCCUGAGAAGAAAGGAAAGGGGAGUUCUGAAUAUUUUUCUUACUACUGGAGGUUUGUGUGAGGUUCAACCCCCCCCCCCCCAACAAUAGGGAUUUCUCACCUCUAAGACAUCCUAAGGAAUACUUUACCACCCCUGCGGUUUUUCUCUUUGGUAUGUCCUAACCAAGGAAUGCUUUACCAUCCCGGCUUUUUCCUUAGUCCCGACCACCAAGGAAAUACUUUACCGGCUCCUGCGGCUUCUCCUUCCUUGGUCGGUGCACAGUUGUCAUUCCAUUACAUGAGGAUCUUUAAGCUAGGUUGCUGGCCAGUUUUUUUUUUGCCCCCAUUGCUGAGAGUCCAGGUUUAUUCGUCACACCGGGUGGGUCUCAAUUUCUUACCUAUGAGGACCUUGCAAUGAAGUAGGGGAGCGCUACCCCAUGAGAGAGGACUGGAGACCGCCCCCAGAGAAGAAUGUAUCCCCGUACGGAUUGCCACCAAAUUGUUUGAAAUGCUUGUUCUCCGGUGCCAUAAAGAAAUAGCACUUGAACAUAAAUUUAUUUAGUAAGGCCAUUUUUACUUCCUGCAGAAAGGGUACACUCAGCCAGCAGUUUUGGCACGAGAGUACACAACUAAGGAUAUAGGGUCAUUUAUAACCUGACGCGUCCACCCUACUGCUGUGUCCGGUUUCCACUGGCUGGGAUGGGGCCUCACAUUCUGUAUUUGUCCCGACUGGCGAGCAACUUAGAACUUUUUUUUUUUUUUUUUUUUUGAUGGAGUCUCACUCUGUCGCCCAGGCUGGAGUGCAGUGGCAGGUUCUCAGCUUACUGCAAGCUCCACCUCCCGGGUUCACGCCAUUCUUCUGCUUCAGCCUCCCAAGUAGCUGGGACUACAGGCUCCUGCCACUGCCUGGCUAAUUUUUUGUAUUUUUCCUAGAGACGGGGUUUCAUGUGUUAGCCACAUGGUCUUGAUAUCCUGACCUCUUUACCCGCCCGCCUUGGCCUCCCAAAGUGCUGGGAUUACAGGCGUGAGCCACCACCCCCCACCACCGCCCAGCCAAUUUAGAACCUUUUAAAAGAAGCAAAGGUAGAUGAGAACAAAGGAAGGAGGAAGUAACUUGUGGAAUGCUGAGAAAGGUGAAAACACUUUUAAAUAAGGAAGAGGAACAGGCUAUGACCUAAUGCUUGCUUGGACCAGUAUAAGCAUGCCAAGGCAAAUAUUUAGGCUAAAUUGUGGGAGCUAAGAACAUAAAGUACGUUGAUUUCUUUAUGACGGCUAGCAGAUAUUUAAGAAUGUUAGCACAGGUCUUUGAAUAAAUUUUGCUUAUAAGAGAAGUUACCAUUUAUUCCUAAUUAGGGAGGAAAGUCUUUGAAAAGGAACUUCUACUUUACUUUUUACAGUUACUAUGAGGAUCACUAUAUCAAUGUUUCUUAAUUCAUAUGCUAAAGUGCACUCAAUUUUUUUUUUUUUUUUUGAGACGGAGUCUCGCUUUGUCGCCCAGGCUGGAGUGCAGUGGCGCGAUCGCCAAUUGCCGCUCAAUGCAAGCUCUGCCUCCUGGGUUCACGCCAUUCUCCUGCCUCAGUCUCUGGAUUAGCUGAAACUACAGGCACCCACCACCACGCCUGGCUAAUUUUUUGUAUUUUCCCUAUAGAAGGCGUUUCUCCAUGUUAGGAUUAUCUCGAUCUCCCGACGUCGUGAUCCGCCUGCCUCGGCCUCCCAAAGUGCUGGGUUUACAGGCAUGAGCCACCACGCCCUGCCCUCAAUUUCUUUUUUCACAUUGACAUCUAUCUCAAAGGAAGAGCAACUUAACCAAUGUCUUUGUGGUACACAUCAGUGGCUACAACUUUCACAAUUACAGCACAGAUAAAAAAGGCCAUCUGAAUGACAGCAUAAACAUGGCAUCUGAGCUCCAAAAUUUCAUCUCCUUACAAGAAAGUGGUUAUUAUUUUCCAGUGACUGCAGGAAUAGUUUCACACUGGGUACUGGGAUUAUCUCAGAAUAAAUGUUUUUGUUUUAUUUUUUUUGAGACAGCGUCUAACUGUCGCCUAGGCUGGAGUGCAGUGGUGUGAUCUCAGCUCACUGCAACCUCUGUUGCCUGGGUUCAAGUGAUUCUCCUGCCUCAGCCUCCUGAGUAGCUGGGAUUACAGGCAUGUGCCACCACGCCUGGCUAAUUUUUGUAUUUUUAGUAGAGAUGGCGUUUCACUAUGUUGGCCAGGCUGGUCUCAAACUCCUGACCUCAAGUGAUCCACCCACCUUGGCCUCCCAAAGUGCUGGGAUUACAGGCGUGAGCCACCACGCCUGGCCUCAGAAUCAAUUACAGGCGCAGUGGCUCACGACUCAGGCCUGUAAUCCCAGCACUUUGGGAGUCCAAGGCAGGCAGAUCAUUUGAGGCCAGGAGUCUGAGAUGAACCUGGUAACACGGCAAAACCCCAUCUCUUCUAAAAAUCAAAAAACAGCCAGCAUGGUGGCUCACGCAUGUAAUCCCAGCUAUGUGGGAGGCUCAGGUGGGAGAAUCGCUUGAACCUGGGAGGUAGAGGUUGCAAUGAGCCAAAAUCACGCCACUGCACUCCAACCUGGUCGACAGUCUUUAAAAAAAAAAAAAAAAGCAGCCGCA